UCCCUGGUGGCUCAGAUGGUAAAGCAUCUGCCUGCAAUACAGGAGACCCAGGUUCGAUCUCUGGGUUGGGAA
rnacentral:tRNA from 1 species